rnacentral:rRNA from 1 species
UACGUAGGGGGCAAGCGUUGUCCGGAUUUAUUGGGCGUAAAGAGCGUGUAGGCGGCCGUACAGGUCAGCUGUGAAAACUCGAGGCUCAACCUCGAGACGUCGGUUGAAACCGUACGGCUAGAGUCCGGAAGAGGAGAGUGGAAUUCCCAGUGUAGAGGUGAAAUUCGUAGAUAUUGGGAAGAACACCGGUGGCGAAGGCGGCGACCUGGUCCUUGACUGACGCUGAGGCGCGAAAGCGUGGGGAGCAAACAGG